rnacentral:rRNA from 1 species
UGGGGAAUUUUGGACAAUGGGCGAAAGCCUGAUCCAGCAAUGCCGCGUGUGUGAAGAAGGCCUUCGGGUUGUAAAGCACUUUUGUCCGGAAAGAAAUCCUUGGCUCUAAUACAGUCGGGGGAUGACGGUACCGGAAGAAUAAGCACCGGCUAACUACGUGCCAGCAGCCGCGGUAAUACGUAGGGUGCAAGCGUUAAUCGGAAUUACUGGGCGUAAAGCGUGCGCAGGCGGUUUGCUAAGACCGAUGUGAAAUCCCCGGGCUCAACCUGGGAACUGCAUUGGUGACUGGCAGGCUAGAGUAUGGCAGAGGGGGGUAGAAUUCCACGUGUAGCAGUGAAAUGCGUAGAGAUGUGGAGGAAUACCGAUGGCGAAGGCAGCCCCCUGGGCCAAUACUGACGCUCAUGCACGAAAGCGUGGGGGAGCAAACAGGAUUAGAUACCCUGGUAGUCCACGCCCUAAAACGAUGUCAACUAGUUGUUGGGGAUUCAUUUCCUUAGUAACGUAGCUAACGCGUGAAGUUGACCGCCU